CAGCAGAUGGCAUAAUGCUUAUGUUGCUGGACUCUCACAUCAUCAUCCAGGGUUCAGAUCCCUGUCUGGUGG
rnacentral:tRNA from 1 species